rnacentral:lncRNA from 1 species
UGCUGGUGGUUGCUAGAUUGCGGAAGUCCUUGUGACACGCCCUUCAUUGUGACACCUCCCUCUGCUGGCUCCUUGGUCACUAGGGCUCUAGAGGCAUAGCAAUCUCCUUUGGUUUGAUCAGUCAGGGAGUGGGAGAGAAAGUGGAUGGAGAUGUAAGUAGACUUUCUCAUCAGCAUCUGCAUUCUGUGCUGGUAAUGCUCCAUGGCAGUCUUAGGGAACAUUUAAAAGAUUUAGAUCAGGAAUAAUUUAAAUGCUUCAGCCAGCCCUUCUGGGCAUCUUUAUGACUCCACCCACUGUUUUGUAGCAGUGAAGGGAAGUGACUGUGGAUUCUGCUUACACUUUCAGAAAAGGAAAACUAAUAAGAUGUCACGCCUUGGAAAAGGGCGUUCUUUUUCGGCUAGUGACACAGUAGUCACUUGAUAACUCACCAUGGGAGCAUUAAGCAUGCCCUCUGGAAAAGGUAAUAUCUUGCAUUGUCUUCCUCUCCUUCCUGCUUCCCAAGGCCCAUCUUUCAAAGGACAGCCAAGGUACAAAACCCUUCAUUAUGCUGAUGUUCCUUCCAUAGUAAUAUUAGUAUUUAGUAUUUGGUAUUUGAUGUUUCCCUUUUAAACCUCCCUUCUCCACAUUAAGCAAACCCACCUCUUUCAAUGAGAUGAUGAGAAUUGUCUUAUAAUAUUCAGAGGGUGCUAUUCUGGCUACAGUAUUCAAGCACUCUCUUCACAGGAUACCCAUAAUGAUAUGCCUAGGAAAGUGAAUGCAUCUUGAACUUUGAGUCGUGAAUGUUCAAACCAGUUUAGGGAUGUAGAUCAGGAGAGGACUGUGAGUCCCAUUUCUCACAUUUUAACAGGCCUUCUCUGCAGUGGCUUCCCAUCUGUGGAAUGCUCUCCCCAGGGACGUUUGCCUGGCACCUUCAUUAUACACAUUUAGGCACCAGGCAAAAACGUUCCUUUUUAACCAGGCCUUUGGUUGACCUGAUCAACAUCCCAUACCCUUUUAAAAUGUGUUUUUUUGGGGGGAGGUUAUUGGGUUACUGCUUUUGGUUUGAUUUAAUAUGUUGUGGUCUUGUUGUGAACCACCCUGAGACCUCCGGGUAUAGGGUGGUGUAUAAGUUGAAUAAAUAAUAAAAAACAAUAAGUGUGAAUGAUUGUAGUAAUGGCAUGGAGAAUGUGUCAAGAUUUUUGAGUGAUACUAUGAAGUUACGUAUCUUUGUUUGUUUGUUUGUUUGUUUGUUUUCAAUAAUUUUUAAUUAAAUUUUUAAACAAACAAAAAAAAGAAAAACAACACACACAGAAAACAAUACAAAACUUAACAAUAAAAACACAAAACAUAACAAUUAAAAACAAACUCUCUUUUCCAUUUCCAAUUUUAAAUUACUUAUUUUCUGGACUUCCUCAUACCUCCCUCUUUUGUAUUCCAAUCUACAUUGUUUGUCCAGCAGUUUCUUUUCCACUUUUUUAAUCCCAAUCUUUAAUUUAAUAAAGCAUUAAAAUAUAUAACUUCAACUUUUUUUUUUAAACCUAAUCCUUGAUCUUAAUGUCAUACAACUUUAAAUUUUUCCCUUUUAUUAUCAAAUUUCCAUUUCUUUAAACAUCUUUAAUCUUGAUCUUUAAUCUUAAUCUAUCCUUAACUUUAACCUGUACAGCUGGAAACCACUUGUUUUCAGUCCAACAUCACUCUAAUAUUCCUUAAUUUUGCAGUGUUUCUGAAGAUAGUCUUUGAAUUUCUUCCAGUCUUCCUCCAUCGACUCUUCUCCCUGGUCACGGAUUCUACCAGUCAUUUCCGCCAAUUCCAUAUAGUCCAUAAGUUUCAUCUGCCAUUCCUCCAGCAUGGGAAGUUCUUGUGUCUUCCAAUACUUUGCGAUGAGUAUUCUUGCUGCUGUUGUUGCAUACAUAAAGAAAGUUCUAUCCUUUUUAACACCAUUUGGCCGACUAUGCCCAGGAGAAAGGCCUCUGGUUUCUUAGGGAAGGUAUACUUAAAUACCUUUUUUAAUUCAUUAUAUAUCAUUUCCCAGAAAGCCUUAAUCUUUGGGCACGUCCACCAAAGGUGAAAAAAUGUACCUUCAGUUUCUUUACAUUUCCAACAUUUGUUAUCGGGCAAGUGAUAGAUUUUCGCAAGCUUGACUGGGGUUAUGUACCACCUGUAUAUCAUUUUCAUAAUAUUCUCUCUUAAGGCAUUACAUGCCGUAAAUUUCAUACCUGUGGUCCAUAACUGUUCCCAGUCAGCAAACAUAAUGUUAUGACCAACGUCCUGUGCCCAUUUAAUCAUAGCCGAUUUUACCGUUUCAUCUUGAGUAUUCCAUUUCAGCAGCAAGUUAUACAUUCUUGACAAGUUCUUAGUAUUGGGUUCUAACAAUUCUGUUUCUAAUUUGGAUCUUUCCACCUGGAAGCCAAUUUUCCUGUCCAAUUUAAAUACCUCCAUUAUUUGAUAAUAAUGAAGCCAGUCUCGCACUUUGUUUUUUAAUUUUUCAAAACUCUGCAAUUUCAGUCUAUCUCCGUCUUGUUCCAAAAGAAGUUACGUAUCUUUGUACCUCAGGAUGUCUGGACAGUUUUAUCUAAAGUAUCUCCUACUAUGUUGUGAUUGGAUCCAUGUAUAUGAUGCACUUUUAUGGCAAAAAAGGAGAUAGAUAGAUACAGUGGUACCUCAGGUUAAGUACUUAAUUGGUUCUGGAGGUCCGUUCUUAACCUGAAACUGUUCUUAACCUGAAGCACCACUUUAGUUAAUGGAGCCUCCUGAUGCUGCCGCACCACCGGAGCACGAUUUCUGUUCUCAUCCUGAAGCAAAGUUCUUAACCUGAAGCACUAUUUCUGGGUUAGCGGAGUCUGUAACCUAAAGCGUAUGUAACCUGAGGUACCACUGUAGAUAGAUAGAUAGAUAGAUAGAUAGAUAGAUAGAUAGAUAGAUGUUGGUAGGUGGUUCCUGUGUCUGGGUAGAUGGCCCAUUAUAGAACAAAUUGCUUUGCCCUUGAAGAAGCAGGUGUUUAACCUGGGAGUUUUCUUGAUCCAGCAUUGGCACAUAGGAUACCAAUAGCCUCAUUGGUUAGGUAAAGGUAAACGGGCCCCUGACCAUUAGGUCUGGGGUUGCGGCGCUCAACUUGCUUUAUUGGCCGAGGGAGCCGGCAUACAGCUUCCGGGUCAUGUGGCCAGCAUGACUAAGCCGCUUCUGGCGAACCAGAGCAGCACACGGCAACGCCGUUUACCUUCCCGCCGGAGUGGUACCUAUUUAUCUACUUGCACUUGACGUGCUUUCGAACUGCUAGGUUGGCAGGAGCAGGGACCGAGCAAUGAGAGCUCACCCCAUUGCUGGGAUUCGAACCGCCAAACUUCUGAUCAGCAAGUCCUAGGGUCUGUGGUUUAACCCCAGCACCACCCAUGUCCCUUGUUUUUCCUUAGGACAUCCCUAUUUCCAUAGGAGAAAACUUAGAGAGUAUGGAAUUAAGUGACAUUCAGGUUGAAGAUGUAACUUUUAGGGCUGCCAUAUGUCAAUUUCAGUGGUUUCCUUUAAAAGAAAAGCUCAACAAAUUUGGCGUCUUAACAACUUUCGGGGUGUCCUGGUUUUUAUCCUAACCUGAGUGGAGCUAUAAAUGUUUUCUCCAUUCCUCACUCCUCAGUCAUGAAAUAAGAUUUACCAAUGUAAUUGUGUAGAAAUGCAGUAGUAACUGAAUCCUGCUAUUGUUUAGCAGUUUCUUUUGUCUAAUUAAAUGGGUCUUUUUAAAUCUUAGGGGACACAGACCUUCUCCAGAAGCAGCUUAUCAUUUCAGGAAGGACAUAUAUUGCUGAAAUGGAAAUUAUCCCCUAGGGCCAGGUUCCAUUUAGUUGUUUGCUCCUAGAUGUCGCCUGAAUAGGGGACAUUUAUUUUUCCCAGUCCUCUUCUUGCACAUAGUGUAGGCCUCUAUGGAAGUAUGCUGCCGCUAUGGAAUUCAGGCUAUCUCAAAAUGUUUCUGUUCUGCAAAACAGAUACAAACCCUAACCACAAGGCCAGUGUGGUGUGGUGGUUAAGAGCGGUAGACUCGUAAUCUGGUGAACCGGGUUUGCGUCUCCGCUCCUCCACAUGCAGCUGCUGGGUGACUUUGGGCCAGUCACACUUCUCUGAAGUCUCUCAGCCUCACUCACCUCACAGAGUGUUUGUUGUGGGGGAGGAAGGGAAAGGAGAAUGUUAGCCACUUUGAGACUCCUUAGGGUAGUGAUAAAGUGGGAUAUCAAAUCCAAACUCUUCUUCUACCACAGAAAUGCAGUUGGCAAAAUCAAGAAGCAAGGGUAGACUUAGUUGACAUUUUGCAAUAUGGCAGCACCCUGUGCGGGACCAAAAUUUGGUGCCCCCAAAUGGAUCUUCUCAAUUAUGGAUCUUCUCAAUGUUGCGCCCCUUCAGCUCGGCAGCCUGCAUGUGAGAACUGCCCUAAAUCAGGCACUGCCAGAAGUCCUGAGUGCUGCUUUUAUUGGAUAAAGACCAAAGAAUAAAAAAUAAUACAUUUGGUCUGGCGGUACAGUAGCACAAAUGACAUCAACACAUCUGGGUUUCACUCACCUGCCCUGAUCCAGAACACACUGCAUUAAUAGAAUCAUAGAGUUGUAGAGUUGGAAGGGACCCCGCGGUGUUAAAUCUUGCGUUUCUGCAAUACAAAGAACCACAGCAAAAUUAAACUGUACCAUGGAGCUACUCUGAUGUGGUGGUUAAGACAGGAAAGCCUCAGCAAGCCACUGUCUGUCAGUUUCUUUCUUUCUUUCUUUCUUUCUUUCUUUCUUUCUUUCUUUCUUUCUUUCUUUUUUAAUUUAUUAACAACAAUUUCAGCAUAACAAAAUAUCAAAACGUCUCAUAUUCAUUAUUUUCCCCUUCCCCCCCAUCUCCCCAUCAAACCCUCCCUCCCUCUCCCCUCAAGACUUCUCUCGGCUCCUCUCUCUGAUUUCUCAACUCAUAUUGUUCUCUGCAUACUGUAAAAUUGUAUAAAUCCUUAUAUUAUUUAUCAACUAUGCUAACAAUCAAUAAAUUUGUGUAUGUUUAUUCAAAACCUGCCAAGGAGUCCAGUUCAUUUUGUUGUCUUUUCAAGUAAUUUGUAAAAAGUUCCCAUUCGUCUUUGAAGUCACAGUUGUCCUUAUCUCGCAAUUUGUACAGUGGUACCUCAGGUUACAUACGCUUGAGGUUACAUACACUUCAGGUUACAGACUCCGCUAACCCAGAAACAGUGCUUCAGGUUAAGAACUUUGCUUCAGGAUGAGAACAGAAAUCGUGCUCCGACGGCGCAGCAGCAGCGGGAGGCCCCAUUAGCUAAAGUGGUGCUUCAGGUUAAGAACAGUUUCAGGUUAAGUACAGACCUCUGGAACGAAUUAAGUACUUAACCCGAGGUACCACUGUAUGUCAAUUUAGCCAGUUCUGCAUAGUUCAUCAAUUUCUCUUGCCACUGUUCUUUUGUCGGGGUUUCCUCAUUCUUCCAUACUGUCUGCCAGUUUCACCUGUGAAGCAAUAUGAGUCAAAUGUCACUGACCUACCUUUCAGGGCUGUUGUAAAGACAAAGUAUGUGCAAUAGAAAUUCAGUACAGUGGUACCUUGGGUUAUGAACUUAAUUCGUUCCGGAGGUCCGUUCUCAACCCAAAACCGUUCUUAACCUGAGGUGCGCUUUUGCUAAUGGGGCCUCCCGCUGCCACUACGCUGCUGGCGCGCAAUUUCUGUUCUCAUCCUGGGGCAAAGUUGUAACCUGAGGUACUACUUCCGGGUUAGCAGAGUUUGUAACCCGAAACGUUUAUAUCCUGAGGUACCACUAUAUACAUAUUUGCUACGGAUCACCCAUGCUUUCCCCAGGUAAAUUGCAAGCUGUGAACUGGGUUAGAAUUGAGCACCAUGACUUAUAUCUAUGAUGACGCGAUCAUUUAAUUUGUAUUUCCUGAAACAGCAUUUGAGGAAUUCAGUGGCAGAAUGGAGAUAUCUGUGACGAUGCUGAUGGAUGUUUAAAAUGUAUGUGUAUUUAAAGCAAACAUUCAUGGGGAAGUGGUUGGAAAAGAAGACAGAUAGAGUGUUUCCUCCUUCAAAAAGAGCAAAUUCAAACCGCUCCAGAAUCUUGCUCCCUGCGCAUCCUUUUUGUGGUAAAGAUGUUCCUAAUUAUAUAUUUCCCCGUGCAUUUUGUCUAGGAGAUAAAUUAAAUCUUUGAGUAAGCAGAUUUACAUUUCUUUCCAGCGACAACUGUGAUGAUGGAAACAAAAGUGGCUAACAAAUUCUCAUCACAGCCAUUCAUCAGGAGCCCUUGCUAAUUCCUAUGCAGUUAAUUGGCACACUUCUUUCCAAUUUUGAGGUCUAGAUGGGAGCAUCCUAGACACACACGCCAUACCGAUCGACUCUGUGUAGCACUCCAAUUCCUGGUGGUGACUCCUUUCUGGGGAUAGGUGAAUCUAGUUUCAUUAACGUGUGACCCCUAAAUUUUGGAGCCCCUAUUGCCUCCCCCCCCAGUUUGCAUGUCAAUUACCCAGUUUGAGGGGCAGUGCAAGACAUGGGAUUUGUGACACAAAAUGGCACAAAACUGGCUCAAAACUUUGGCACCAGUUUGGAGUCAGUCGGGCAAUGUUGUAUUUUGAAGGUUCACUUUUGACCCUGGUUUGCUGUGCAUUUUAAAAUAUGCAGCGGACACCUUUUUUGUAUAAUUUUUUUAUUGUUUUUAUAUUUUACAUUUUAGAAUAUUCAUUUGAACAACCUUAAAAUAUCAGUGAUUUCCCUUCUUCUCCGUCCAUGGUUCAUUUUUGCAUGCCUUAGAUCCCUGCAUAUUUUACAUAAAGGAAACCAUUCAUUAUUCCAGUUUUACAUCCAUCAACACUUAUUUACACUGUUGAAUUUAUCUUAAUGCUGCCAACGUUUUCAAAUGUACACAGUUUCCACCCAUAUAUUUAGUAAAAGUUUUCCAAUCUUCUUUAAACGUAUAUUCUUCUUGUUCUCUUAUUCUAUAAGUUAAAUCUGCGAGCUGUGUGUAUUCCAUCAGUUUAAGUUGCCAUUCUUCUUUAGCUGGGACCUCACUCAUUUUCCAUUUUGGGGCUAACAAAACCCAAGCCGCAGUAAUGGCAUACAUAAAUAAUGUUUUUUGACACCUGGGAGUUUCCAUCUGAAUUAUCCCCAACAGAAAGGUCUCUGGGGUUUUGGGGGAAAGUACAUUAAAACAUUUUUUCCAAUUCAUUAUAAAUCAUUUCCCAAUACUCUUUUACCCUACCUCUCUAUCUUUUACCUAUCUACCACAUAUGGUAGAACGUACCCUCAGCCUCAUUGCAUCUCCAGCACUUAACUGAUUCAGUCUUAUACAUUUUAGCAAGUCUACUCGGAGCAUGUUAUUCCUUGAAAGAGAACUACCUGUAAGUCUUUCAAGGAAUAACAUGCUGUGAACUUCAAAUCACUCUUCCAUAAUUUCCCCCAGAGAUUGAAAUCUAUAUUAUGUCCUACAUCUAAUGCCCAUUGUAUCAUGGAAGUGCUAACAAGCUCAUCUUUUGUUUCCCAUUCGAAUAACAGAUUGUACAUUUUAGAUAAGAGUUUUUCUUUGUUUUGUAAAAGUUCUUUUUCAAAUCAAAAACUUUGGUCCAAAAAAACCAUUUUCCUGUCUGUUUUAAACAUUUCAUAUAACUGAUGAUUUUUAAUACGUGUAUCUCUUGAUGCUGCCCCAGUCAGUGGAUUGUCCAUGGGUGAAUUCACCUUUAGCGACUUAAUACCCAUGAAGAAUCAAUACAUGUCAAAGCUAUUGCAUGCAGAACAAAAGGCUUGCAUAUAGAUUUUGCAGGUAACAUCUGCAAGCAGAAAUGGUCAGAAAUGUCAACUCCCAUGUAGCUUCCUCAGGCUCUCAUAAAAAUGUGUCAUUGUUCUAUUUUGAAGCCAUCUUAAGAGGAGCAUAAAUGACACUGAUGAGAAAGAAAUCUAGUGUUUGAUUCUUGCAGUAUUUCCCACAUAUUCAAGUAAGGGAUGUUUACAUGGUGAGUGAGCCUACAAAAUUCAGUUCCUCUAUAUUGUCCCUUCUGCCAGAAAGCCUUGGCCAUAUCACUUCUGUCAAACGCUAACAAGACCAGGGUUAAACAGUUCUUCUAUCUCCAAAGAAGCAAUCAUGCCUCAGUAUGUUGAGAAUGUUUUUCCUCUGAGCUCUUUGCCAUCUGAACUGCCAAAGGCCAACGCGGCAGUUUCAGAACUGCUUUAUAAGCAGAGAUGGAGCUCCUGGCCUAUUAAAGCAAAUGGUUUAAUGUUACUGUUACAGUGCAGGCGGCUUGCUUUUCGCUGUUAAAAAGUCCCGCUGUGGGUCUCUCUGAAGGCAGCUUCAUUUCACUGAAACAUAAACUAACAUUGGCAUGUGCUCUUGUGGGAAAAGGAUGGCCGAGAUUUACACUCCUUUCUCGCUAAGCGUAUCCAGCUCUUCCUUCCUUCCUUCCUUGCUGGCUUCCUUCCUAACAGGGCAUCAAAUAUUUAUUGCCUAUAACAGUUUGGAACGCCUCUUCGCAUUUUCGCCAAGGUGCUUCUAGAAAUCCUCGGUUUCUAUUUUGCAAAGCGAGAAACUCAGAAAUAAACGAAUCUCUGACAGAGAGAAGCAGAUGAAAGAGGAACGUUAUGGCUUCACCAUCAGGCAAUGUUUUCUCCCCCCCAUCUCCACUUCUACCUGCUCCUUUUUUCGCCAUCUGGCUUGAUGAUGAAUUGUAGACAAUUUGAAAGCUUUGCCAGCUAUUUUGCAACAUCUUGGGUGGCCUACUCAAAAUACUGACCUAGAAAAGGCUUCUUUAUCCACCCUGGAACACCUAUCCAGUUGGAAAUGAUACUGAUUUUUUUUUAUCCUGUGUGUGUGUGUGUGUGUGUGUGUGUGUUCCUAGGGUUGCCACACGUCCAGACUUUCCCAGACAUAUCCGGAAUACUGCAACUGCAAGCAGUGUCUGGGUGGAAAUCGGCGGAACGUCCGAGAAAAUCCGGGCGUACAGCAGCCCAUGUCGCCAGUGUUGCUUUUGCCGAUGGCUCAAAAAUGUCUAACUUCUUUGCUCAUCACCUUUGGCAAAAACUAGCAAAAGAUCAACAACUUUUCCGUUCAGAUUUUCACUUUUUGAAAUAUGGCAACCCGGCAACCCUGGUAUGUUCCUGUCCUCAGAUUUCCUUUCCUUGUCUCUGAUCUGCAUUCAUUCAUGACGGUUCAUGUCACUUUUCUCAAGGGAUGAUAGGAGAAUUCUGUAUUUGCAGAUUCCAGUAUGAAUUGACCUGAUGAGCACCUCCCAGACUAAGCUGUGGAUUCAGCAGCAGUUGGUGGGGCAAGCACAUAUGGGGCAGCAGUACUCACCUGCCUUCUGAACGCAUAGCGUUGCUGCCUUUUCCUGAGAGAGUGUGAGAUAGAUAGAUAGGUGAUAGAUAGAUAGAUAGAUAGAUAGAUAGAUAGAUAGAUGAUAGUUAGUUAGUUAGAUAGAUAGAUGAUAGAUACAGUGGUACCUCGGGUUAAGAACUUAAUUCGUUCUGGAGGCCUGUUCUUAACCUGAAACUGUUCUUCACCUGAGGUACCACUUCAGCUAAUGGGGCCUCCUGCUGUCGCCGCGCGAUUUCUGUUCUCAUCCUGAAGCAAAGUUCUUAACCCGAGGUACUAUUUCUGGGUUAGCGGAGUCUGUAACCUGAAGCGUCUGUAACCCGAGGUACCACUCUAUAGAGAGAUAGAUGAGAGAGAGAGAGAGAGAGAGAGAGAGAGAGAGAGAGAGAGAGAGAGAUGAAUAUAUUUCCAAUGACAUGGGUUUCUGACAUCAACACUUUGGUCCAAGGAAGGCAAAUGAAAAAUCUGGCCAAAGUUGUUGAGAUCUUCUGGGGAACAUGUCCCCCCGCCCAAAAAAAAUUUUUUAAAAAAAAUUGGGGGGCUUUUCUAGGCUUUUAAAGCAUUUUUUUUAAAAAAAAUCACCCUACUUGCCACAUGUCCAGUUUUCCCCAGACAGUUUUUCUGAUUCGGCAAAAAUCUUCCCAGGGCGCCAUUUUGCUGCCCGAUUCCCAGAUGUGUCCAGGAAAACCCGGAUGUAUGACAGCCCUACAAAUGCCACAGCUAUUCUGAUGCUCAUAAAGUAACGUCAGAAGACCGUUUAGGCACCCUGCUCUGGAUUGUGGCCAGAAAUCUGAACCUGGGCGCAGAAUGCAGCCUAUGGAACAGGCAAAGGAGGUUCAUAGCUUUAUUUCAUUUAGGCAAAUAUAUCCUCACGUGAGCAAAGCAAGCAAAAUUUGUUGUGUUGGUAGCCACUAGAUGAAGUAUUCUCCCUUUGGAUGUUUCCAUGGAGACUGCCUUCAGCUGGCACUGAAGGGGCUGUAUCUCCUUAGACAGAGGAGUCGAACAAAUUUACAAUGCUCCAAAGAUCAGCAAUUUAUUCCCUUUCCAGAGGGAUAGCCGUGUUAGUCUCAUGCAGCAAACAGCAAGGUGGCACUUUAAAGACUAGCAAAUUUAUUAUGGCAACAGCUUUUGUGAACUGCAGUCUGUCAGAUGCAUGAAGGGUUAUUAGGAUCAUGUAUAUAUAAUUAUAUUUUGGUGGUGGUGGGGAGGUUGUAAACAAUGAAAUAAGGGGAAACAUAAAUGCCAGGGUUGCCAUAUUCCCCAAAGCGAAAAUUCAGACAAAGUUGUUGAGCUCUACAGGAGGAAUUGCAUAAUUAACAGUGGUUGUUCACAACCAGGUGCUAAUACAUUCAUAAAAGGUAAAGGUAAAGGGACCCCUGACCAUUAGGUCCAGUCGUGCCAGACUCUGGGGUUGCGGCGCUCAUCUCGCUUUAUUGGCCAAGGGAGCUGGCGUACAGCUUCCGGGUCAUGUGGCUAGCAUGACUAAGCCGCUUCUGGCGAACCAGACCAGCACAUGGAAACGCCGUUUACCUUCCCGCCAGAGCGGUACCUAUUUAUCUACUUCCACUUUGACAUGCUUUCGAACUGCUAGGUUGGCAGGAGCAGGGACCGAGCAACGGGAGCUCACCCCGUCGUGGGGAUUCGAACCACCGACCUACUGAUCGGCAAGUCCUAGGCUCUGUGGUUUAACCCACAGCGCUACCUGCGUCCCUAAUACAUUCAUAAGUGAGUGCUAAUGCAUACGACAAAUGCCUUUACUCAAAUGCCUUUACUCAAAAGAAUACAGUGGUACCUCGGGUUACAUACGCUUCAGGUUACAUAUGCUUCAAGUUACACACUCCACUAACCCAGAAAUAGUGCUUCAGGUUAAGAACUUUGCUUCAGGAUAAGAACAGAAAUCGGGCUCCAGCGGCACGGAAGCAGGAGGCCCCAUUAACUAAAGUGGUGCUUCAGAUUAAGAACAGUUUCAGGUUAAGAAUGGACCUCCGGAAUGAAUUAAGUACUUAACCCGAGGUACCACUGUAGACACAAAUCCAAUCAGAAAGAGCACUAUUCAAAAACCUAGUGAAAUUAGUACUCCCAGAGGAAGACCUUCCUGGAGCAAAGGACCUUCAGAAUGAGAUGCAAUGUGAAAGUGCCGAAUUAUAACAUAUCAAGAGGUCUAGUGCUAUUACUUGUAGAAUGAACUGGGACAAAGGAUGCUUUUGCACAUUACGUGUGUUAAUGGGCUUACCAAUGCUAUGAUGACUGUGCUACAAACAACUGUUUUGUGAACAACCCAUGUUAGAUACAUAAUCAUUACUGUCUGUGCUUUUCUGCAUUUGUUUUCCUCUGACCUCACGGUUUAUCCUUCCUUUGCACCAUGUGUAUAAAUGUAAAGGGCCCCCUGUCCAUUAGGUCCAGUCAUGGCCAACUCUGGGGUUGCAGCACUCAUCUCGCUUUAUUGGCCGAGGGAGCCGGCGUACAGCUUCCGGGUCAUGUGGCCAGCAUGACUAAGCCACUUCUGGCGAACCAGAGCAGUGCACGGAAACGCUGUUUACCUUCCCACCAGAGCGGUACCUAUUUAUCUACUUGCACUUUGACGUGCUUUCAAACUGCUAGGUUGGCAGGAGCAGGGACCGAGCAAAGGGAGCUCACCCCGUCGUGGGGAUUUGAACAGCCGACCUUCUGAACAGCAAGCCCUAGGCUCUGUGGUUUAACCCACAGCGCCACCCGCGUCCCUUACCAUGUGUACAUAUAACUCAAUAUAACAUUUCACAUAUCUGAUGAAGUGAAUGGUUGUUCCUGAAAAUGCGCUAAUAAAUUUGUCAGCCUUUAAGAUGCCACAAAACAUGCUGCUGUUUUCACUUUUUCAAAUACUCCAUGCUUUGCAGGGAUUAGAUUGGCAUCACUACUGCUGAGCUUCCAAAAGAAAGAUCAACUGAAGUUCUUUUAAAAAUUGCAAUACAGAUGUACCUUCGUUCUUAAAUGCCUUGGUACUCAAACAACUUGGAACCCAAACACUGCAAACCCAGAAGUAAGCUUUCCGGUUUGCGAACAUUUUUCAGAAGCCAAACGUGCUCUGUUUUGAGUGUUACGCUUCUGAUUUGAGUGCCACACUUCCGUUUGGGUGUUAUGAUGAGGUCUGUCUGUUUUUGCUAUUUAUUUUGCGUUUUUGUUUUUGCGGCUCUUUUUUGUUUGUUUUUGUGACUGUGUAGAACACAGUUCAGCUACUGAUUGAUUAUGUGACUGCAGUACAUUGUUUAUUGCUUUCAUUUUAUGGAUCAGUGGUCUCGUUAGAUAGUAAAAUUCAUAUUAAAUUGCUGUUUUAGGGAUUGCUUUUAAAAGUCUGGAACAGAUAAAUCCAUUUUUCAUUACUUUCUAUGAGAAAGUACGCUUUGGUUUUGGAACGCUUUGGUUUUGGAAUGGACUUCCGGAACGGAUUAAGUUUGAGAACCAAUGUAUCACUGUACAAAAGUACCCUGCUGAUUCCAUCAUCUCCCAUAAGACUUGAACUUACUUGACCUGUGGUGUAUCAGUGCCUUCUCCAAAUAAUUCCUCCCAUAUUCUCUCUCUCAUUUAUAUUGAUUUCCAUUUUCAUUUGUGUCAUUUAAGUGUGUGCCAUCCAGAGACAAAUGUAUCAUUUGGUCUCUGGUAGAAAUAAAUCAAGAUGCUUGAAUUUGAAUUAAAAUGAUUCCUCGCCCCAACAUAAAAUUGGGGCUCUGAGGUAUAAAUUAGCUGUCUACAGGCUUUGGAACAACAGAGCAGCUCUUGAAAUAGCCCUCAUAAAAGAAUCACCAUUCAAUCUCACAUAUUUCAUUCAGAUUCAUUGUUGUAGUAAUUAGUUUUCAUAUUAAUACACACGUGCGUCCUCUUCAAGGUUACUGGGAGAGUGGAAUGCUAAAAGAAAGCCAGCGGUUGCUUUUUAAAAAUUGUUCACUGCUGUUUUAUAUUUUAUCUAUUUUUAAUCUUUUCAGGCUUUUUUUUUUUUUAAUGGUGCCGUUUUGACAUUGCCAUGAUUGCUUUUAUUGUCUUUGGCUAUUGCUUUAGCAAUUCUAACAGGCGAUCUUAAUGCUCUAAUUUAUUAUAAACCUUUAGAUGUUUUAUUUUAUUACUACGUUUAUAUCCCAACUUACCUCCCAGCAGCUCAAGGUGAUAUACAUGGCUCUCCCGCUCCUCUGUCUGUUGUCACAACAACCCUGUGAGGUUGGUUACUAGUUCAUGUCUAAUUCAGUUGCAUGGCUGUAUAUCAAGAACUUUGAGAUAAUUCCCAUGGGAGUAUAUUCACAGAUGCAUACAUCCUCCCAAACAAAAUUCAAAAUAGAGUUGUUACUCUCCCCAAGAGAGAGGGACCAGUCUACAUGAAAUUGCACAGCAAAUAUAUUUUAAAGAUGGACCAUGUGGACUUUAACAGGGUGUAUGUGUUAUACAGUGGUACCUCGGGUUAUAUAUGCUUCAGGUUACAUAUGCUUCAGGUUGCAGACUCCACUAACCCAGAAAUAGUACCUCGGGUUAAGAACUUUGCUUCAGGAUGAGAACAGAAAUCAUGCUCUGGCGGCACAGCAGCAGCAGGAGGCCCCACUAGUUAAAGUGGUGCUUCAGGUUAAGAACAGUUUCAGGUUAAGAGCAGACCUCCAGAACGAAUUAAGUACUUAACUCGAGAUACCACUGUAUGUGUAAGAUUAGUUUCAAUAGGAUCUCUUAGGUUUUUACAGCUUGGAAGCCCAGAAAUCUGAAAACAAAAGACUAAUACCCCAAAUGCAAUUUUUUUGAUAAGCUCAUGGUGUUAAAACGGGACCUUUGCUGUGGUUUACAAAGGUCAUCUGCAAUAAACAUAUGUAGGGUUGCCAUAUUUUGAAGAGCAAAAAAAGGAGGAUGCUAUGACGAUUCUCAUUUUAAAUACCUGUUGAAAAAUGGGAGGCUUGCAAACAUUGCAUAGGGACGCAGGUGGCGCUGUGGGUUAAACCACAGAGCCUAGGGCUUGCCGAUCAGAAGGUCGGUGGUUCGAAUCCCCGCGACGGGGUGAGCUCCCGUUGCUCGGUCCCUGAUCCUGCCAACCUAGCAGUUCGAAAGCACGCCAGUGCAAGUAAAUAAAUAGGUACUGCUCUGGUGGGAAUGUAAACGGCGUUUCCGUGUGCUGCUCUGGUUCGCCAGAAGCGGCUGAGUCAUGCUGGCCACAUGAUCCGGAAGCUGUACGCCGGCUCCCUCGGGCAAUAAAGCAAGAUGAGCGCCACAACCCCAGAGUCAGUCACGACUGGACCUAAUGGUCAGGGGUCCCUUUACCUUUACCUACUAUAUGUAGGCUAUAGAAGCUGUGAUAUAUUGCUGGGGGCGGGGCAGGAAAAGGGAAGAGGAAAGUAAGUCUUCAACCACCAGUUGUGUCUAUGUCUCAUCCAGAAAGUAAAGCCAGAGACAUUUUGGCAAAUUAAAAAAAUCCAACCGGACAGAAAUUUUUCCCCUGAAAAAGAGGACGUGUCCUGGAAAAAGAGGACACGUGGCAACCCUACAUAUGUGCACCCUUAUAUAUUAAAGCAUACCCUUCAACAUUUCUCCAAAGAGAAAGCAGUGCCCAUGCAGACAGAAAUGUCCUCAGCACACUUGCAAAUCCCCCUCCCUUCCAGCUAAUUACAUUUCUUAAUAUCUUUUUCCCAUCAGCUCUUUUCAGACUUGCAUUUUCAACUGACCAGACUGGGGGUGCAAGGAACAGCUCGGCCUGAUCCUGUGCCUUUUAGCAGCAGGAGACCUUCAGAAAUCUGUAUGUGGGUUUUUGCUUGGCAAGAAGAUGAUUAGCAUGGUUUGCUACUCUCUGAAGAUCCCAGCGCUCUUCAAGUCCCAGUAAGAAGUUGGCAAACCUCCUUCAGACUUCACAUAUGUGAAGGUUAAUUUUAUAGCAUUGUCAGUAUCGAUUUAUACUUUAAGAGAUGAGGUCAUAAGGACUUUGGCAUAACACAUGCUCAAUGCUGGUCAUACAAGACAUUAUUACUUUCAUUUUAAAAAACGUAAUAAAAUCUGUCAAAAUUAAUUAAGAGCUUGGGAGAAGAGAUAUGGUAAUACAGACCAAAGUGAUGAGAUCAUCAUCUGCAGCCCACAUUUGUACAAACCUUAUCCUCAUGUUUUGCUACUGCCAAAUAUCUGGCAGUCCUGAAAAUAACCUUUCUCUAGUUCACAAAGUAGGAUCAUUCAGCUUUGACUGUUGACCCAAGUCUUAACCUUGGCAAAUAUUCCUUCCUACAUUCAGUGUUGCCAGCUGGUCAGGAAUGAUGGAAACUGUCCCCCCCACCCCCCCCGCUUUAAAUUUUUAUUGAUUUUCAUGCAAUUUAACAAAUUCAAUUAAGUUUCAAUGCAAUAGUCCCUUAACAUUUUGACUUCCCAUUCUUCCUUCCAUGAUGUUUCUGUUCAAAUCCUUUCUCACCUGCCUUAAAUGUAAUUCAUAUUUCUGUCACGUAUAUCCUACAUUACAUUCCUUUUAUCUUUCUCAUUCCUUUGCUUAUACAGCAGUACCUCAGUUUUCAAGCAUCUCGGAAGCUGAACAUUUCGGUUUUCCAAAUCCCAAACCCCGGAAGUAAUUGCUUCAAUUUUUGAACGCACCUCGGAAGUCAAACGACUUCCGCUGUGUUUUUCCCCAAUUUUUUCAAUUGAACUUGCAGCCAGCCCUUUGCGCCUUGGUUUUUGAAUGUUUCAGAAGUCGAAUGGCCUUCCAGAACGUAUUACGUUCAAGUACUGAGAUAUCACUGAAUUUCCACUCCUGCCUGCAAUUUCAUUUGACUAUAAUAGUUUCUCAGAUAGUCCAGAAAGGGUCUCUGAUUUUUUCCUGUGGGUCUCUUAUUUCUGCCGUCAAUUUUGAUGGGAGUUGUAGUCCAUCAACUUCUAGAGGGCCACAGGUUGCUCAUCCCUGAUCUAGAGCAUUCUUUUUCAUACUCCUCUCAGGAUACUGAAACUAGAUGCUUUGCAGUGUUAAGGCCAAAGCUGCUCUAUGGAGAGUUCUAGAAAACAAUUUGUGUAAGCAACACUCUUAGAAUGAGAGACGUUUUUAUAUAGUAAUGAAAAAGAGGGAGAAAGCUAAGGGCUGGUUUGCCAGCCAGGUCCCACUGUGCGCCACGGAAUUAUUUAUGUGUCUUUUGUGGUCAGUCUCAUUCUUCCGAAAUGCACACACAGAAAGGAACCUUACUUUGGAUAGGUAUGUUGCCAGUUUUUCUUUUUUCCUCUUUUGCAACAGCUAUUUAGUGGCCAGAAGGGAUUAAUUCAGAGGCCUAUUGAAAAGCAGCAUUAUAGCUUUUCAGAAUCUUUUUGUGUUCCCGGAAUAGCCAGUAGGACUCACGUUGCUACUUGGCUUUGCUUGCUUCUCUUCUUGUCUCUUUCGAUCGCAACAGAUGGCAAAAAGAUUUAUUUGGACAUCCGAGUCUUUCUUCUGGUUUAUGUUUUCCUGUGCCAAGAGUCAGGAGGGCAGAGUCUGAUCAUAUAGCUGAUGGAGAAAGCUUGCCGUUUAUUAGGGCAGAGCAAUAAAAUACAAAGAUAAAGGAGAUGUGUCCAGUGUUAAGCCUGCUCAGAGAAAACCCAUCAAAAUUAACUGACAUGGCUAACUUAGAUCCAUUAAUUUCAGUAAGUCUGCUCUGCGUGGAGUCAACUCAAUAACAAAUAUUUCAUAAUUACACAUGGUGGCUGGUCUGCUGUGCCAAGAGUUUUCAGAGGUUUAUAUCUGGGGUGGUGGUGGGGAGGUCAGAGAAUUAUCAGUGUUUCUCCCCCAAAGCCAUUCUUCAUUCAUUAAUUUAUUGCAUUGAGAUCUCUAACCCCAAAAGCGCUAAGCAAAUUACUGUAUUUUUCGCUCUAUAGGACACACUGGACCAUAGGAGGGGGAGAACAGGGGAAAAAAAUUCUCCCCCUCUCUGUUCAGCGCCCCUUCAGCGAAGCGGUAGGAGAAACGGAGCCCCUUCCAUUUCUCCCACUUCGCUGAAGGGGCGCUGCGCAGAGAGGGAAAACUGUGCAGCGCCUCUCCAGCGAAGUGAAGCCUGGAGAGCAAGAGGGUUCGGUUUGCACCGACCCCUCUCGCUCUCCAGGCUUCAGGCGGCUAUCCGCAAGCCUUCGGAGCGCGGAUAGCUGCCUGAAGCCCCUGGAGCGCAGCGGGAGUUCCUGCUGCACUCCGGGGGCUUCAGGCAGCUUCAGCAAAAGCAACGCAAAGCCUCCGGAGCACGGGAGGAGCUCUGCCUCUGCGCUUCGGAGGCUUUGCAUUGCUAUCGCUGAAGCCAAGGAGCCUGCAUUCGCUCCAUAGGACUCACACACAUUUCCCCUUAAUUUUUGGAGGGGGAAAAGUGCGUCCUAUAGAGCGAGAAAUAUGGUACAUAUCUAGGAAGCUUAGGAAGCCAAACCUUUGUAGUUUCACAGAUACAAUGUCUUUGUGUACCUUCAUUCAAUUUUCUGGACCAUUACCAGAUGUACUGAAGAGAUCAAUAUAUGCACUAGCAUCAGUUUUAGACCCGGUAUACCACUUGGACAGGUUAUGGGGACUUGGCAUCCCUGGGGCUCUGAAUGCUAUCACUUGCCUGAGCUCUGCCUCAUUUUUUAAAAACCCACCUUUUAAAAUGUAACCUUUUUUGGCAGCUGAAACUGAGUGGCUUGAUUUCACACGGAGACGCACAGUGACCAGGAAGGCAACUCCUUCUACUCAUUUACUCUUCUAGAAUCUUCCCACAUGGUAGGCAAACCAGUUAGACAGUCUCCCUCAGAGCGAAAUGUUCUGAAAAUCGCAAAUCUGAAAGAGCUGCACAGAAUGCGAGGAAAAACUGGAGCCAAGUUAACUUUUCCAAACAACCACUGAAUUCUAGCGGAUUUCAUGAAUCUGUUUUUUUGACAUCAGCAGAGAUCCUUCCCUGAAAAUUCAGCAUUGGGAGACUAGUGGCAGAAGGAUUUAUUUAUUUUUUGCGCUUAGAAAAUGUACAUGGCUAAAGCUCGAGAGAUCAGAGAAUCAGAGAAUCAGACCAGUAUGCGUAGUGACCUAAACAGGCCCUGAAAUGGAAAAAGGUUUGAGUGAAAAUUACAUGGAGGGACUUGGAAAAUGCCCGACAACUGCACAACAAAUUAGAUGCGCUAGGAGCCAUGGAAAUUGCUUGAACAUGAGUAGGGCUGCCAUAUGUCCUGAUUUUCCGGGACAUGUCCUAGAAUUUGCCUCGAAAAAUGGCAUCCUGGAUUAUUUUUCGGAAAUCAGGCAAAUGUCCUGGGAAAUUGGCAACGGGGGUUAAAUGGUGCCAGAAAUGCCUUUAAGAAAGCUCCAAAACUCCAAAAUUCUCAACAGUUUUUUGAGGGGGGGUUUCCUGGUUUUUACUUUUUGAAAUGAGGCAAAUGUGUCAAACCUUAAGAAAUAGGACAGCUGUAUCCAAAGACCCGCUGAUGUUGCUGCUUCAGCCUCUGAAGUUUCUUAACCAUAUUCUCCAGAAUAAGAAUGAGAAUCUGAGCCUCCCGCUUCCUCCUAAGAAGAAGAGUUUGGAUUUGAUAUCCCGCUUUAUCACUACCUGAAGGAGUCUCAAAGCGGCUAACAAUCUCCUUUCCCUUCCUUCCCCACAACAAACACUCUGUGAGGUGAGUGGGGCUGAGAGACUUCAGAGAAGUGUGACUGGCCCAAGGUCACCCAGCAGCUGCAUGUGGAGGAGCAGAGACGCGAACCCGGUUCACCAGAUUACGAGUCUACCGUUCUGAACCACUACACCACACUGGCUCUCACAAGACUCGUUCCCAGCUUGCUGCCUUCCCAACAGUUGCAAACUCCUUUGAGGAUGGGCUCUAAUUCUGCUAAAUGUAGUGUGCUGGGCCCUGGGGCAACCUGAGUAAUGCGGUCCAGGUCCGGUCCCAAAUCCAAGGGUUCUGUGAGGAGUCAGUCCGACAGGGCCAAGGUGGGACACAAGGCAGAAAACCGGGCAAGGUCAGGCACAGGAUCUCAGUUAGAUUCUGGCAAACAGCAAUGUUGCUCCCACAACCUGGGGCAGGGUCCAACAGCCUUUUAUCUUUGUCGGGGUAAUGGCCAGUCCUGAUCCCCCCAGUGACUCACCUCCCUGUCUUGCCCAAAGGUGAGCACUCCUCCUGCAAGUACUCAUGUCUCUCCUUCUCUCAGCCCUUAGUCUCUGCAGCUCAGGAGAUGUCAGUGGGUUACUAGACCCAGAGGCCGCCUCAGCCUCUCCUGACCCAAAUGGUAGUGGAGCAGCUGUAAGUGAUUGCCAGCUAAAGGCAAUGAGGUAAUCUCCGCAUCUGGAGCCAGGGCAGGCUCAGGCCCCUAACUCGGCCCAGCUGGUGCUUGUUGCAGGGGAGCCUGUGCAGACUGGGGCUCUUCAGAAUCAGGCCCCAGACUUGGUUCAGAUGCCGCCUGAGGCAAAGUCCAGUGCGGACUAAGACUCCUCUGGUUCCGAGUCCGAGCCCGAGUCCCAGGCCAUCACAUGUAACACCCUUCUCGUUCUUGAGGACAAAGGAGGAGGGGAGAGGAGAACAGUGGAACUGACAGGUUGCUGGCAAUCUGUCAAAGCCUCAUCCUCCUCUGCCUCAGUGUCAUUCAUUCCUGUCGCUUGCUCAGCGUCCCACCCAUCUGCCCCCAGCCUAUUCCUCUAACCUGUCUUCUGUAUCCCACCACUAUUCUCCUGGCUCGGAGCCUUCCCACUCUGAUGCUUCUCUGGGGGGGGUCCCCAGCUGUAGCCUCCCACCAUUCCUCCUCAUCCAGCCAGUCCCUGACACUCCACAAGCCAGCCCCUCAUUGGCUCCACCCAAUGGCCUUAUCAAAUGCUUUUUUUGGUCUAGCUAGAAAGUGUCCAUCAGCUGUAAUAAUUCUUCUUGG